UCAGUUUCGGUCUGGGGGCGGCGCCGCCUGGGUUUGUGCAGCGCGGCGGCCCCGGAGCAGAGUGGAGCGAACCCGCCGGCCCCGCGAGCCGACAUGGGGCUCGCCGGCCGCCUCUCCGCGCUCGGGCUGCGGCUGCUGCUGCUGCUGAGCGCCCUGCUGGUAUGCACCCGGUCUCAAGAUCAAGAGUCUGUGUUUGCGAUUGUGGGAGAAGAGUUUACUUUUUCACCAAAAUUUAAGGGUGCUAUAUACGAAAUUACCUGGAUGAAAAAAAAAAAUAAAGUGGCUGAAUGGGAAAGUGGUGGGUUGCCUACGUAUUUUUCUAGCUUUGGAGAGAGAGGACAGCUUGACACAUCUUCUGGCAAUUUGACCAUCAAAAAGUUAAACCUUCAUGAUGCUGCAGAGUAUGAGGCACAGGUUCUAGCUGCUGACGAUAACCAGCUCCAGUAUACAAAAUUUGUAUUUGAAGUAUUGGAUCCUCCUCCACCAUCGGUAUUAAAUUGCAAUGUCACUAAUGGUCAGAUUAGAAUAUCGUGUGCGAUACAUUUCUCAAAGGAUGUGCACUACAGUUGGUAUCGGGAUGACAUAAAAAUUAUUCAUGCUAAUAAUUCUGUUCUCGAACUUAAAGAAAACGCAAACCCUUCAGAGAAAGUUUUCUGCAUCAGAGAAAUCUCCAAAACAAAAAUCAACGACUCAAUCUCUCUGAGUGCGUGCUUCUCGGAGAGUCCCAACGUUCUUUCAAGAGGUAGAAAUGGUUUAAUAGCAAUUUUUGUUGUUAUUAUUCUUCUCCUUCUAUUCAUGGGAGCACUCUUGUUUCUAUGGAGAAGAGGUUUGCUUUCCAACGUUCUCCAUCAGAUACCCACAAAUCACUCAGCUGUAUAUAAGACUGAAGAACAACGUCUUACAGAAGAUGACAGAUUUCCGGAAGAAAGCGGCCAAAAAGAUGAAGUGAAGAACUCAGAAGAGACUAAAUCAGUGAGCCAGCAUGACCUUUCCUCCACUCAAGAGAAUGCAGAUGAAGUGAAGAACUCAGAAGAGACUAAAUCAGUGAGCCAGCAUGACCUUUCCUCCACUCAAGAGAAUGCAGAUGAAGUGAAGAACUCAGAAGAGACUAAAUCAGUGAGCCAGCAUGACCUUUCCUCCACUCAAGAGAAUGCAGAUUAUGAAAAUAUCACAAAGGGGAAUCAGGAGCCAGGUUCCAAUUCCAGAUUAAAUCAUGAAUCAGGGAUGGAAUUCACAGCUCCCCAGCGCUCGAAGCCUGUCCACACUAGCGCUUUAAAGCGCUCAGACUUGCUGCAUCUCCACUAGUAGGAUUUGCCAAUAUUGAUAGAUAGAUCUGUGUAGCUAUGCUAGCAAGCCCUUUCUAGUGUAUAUAAGGGGGAGAUGUAAGUCCAAAAAACCUGAGUGAAUGGUUUUGGGGAGGGCUAUUAUUUCACAGAGUAUUUGUAUUAACACUAGGUUUUGUAAUAGCUACAACUAAAGCCUAAAUAUGAGCUCUAAACAGCCUGACAGUGUCCCAGAAGGUGUUACUCUACCCUUACUCAGGUGAGCGCCCAUUGACUCUGUCUCAGUAAGACCUGAGUAAAAAUCUGAAUAAGUUAAUCAGUAUUUAGCCCUUGAGUAGUAUUUAUAUAGCACCAUAUAGAUACAUGGGGCUCUGCUGCAAGGAGCUUGCAAUCCAUUUUCAACAGAAACAGUGCAAACAAUUAAAGUUCAGGUACUAGAUGGGAACAGUCUGGGUGUGGAUCAAAACCCUGGUUUUAAACUUUAAACUGAGGUUUAAAGAGUAUUGCUGAGUUCAUACUAGAGGGUUGCGCUGUUUUUAUUGUAUUGGUCUAGUUAAAGUGGUUGUGUGUGUGUACAAGUCUUGAGUACUGUGGUAUAUUUUUAUAAGGGUUUCUCCCUUCGCAUGACAUUGAUAGUACAUUAAAGAUUCCUAGGCUCCACAGGAAUCUGGGUGGAGGGGCUAUCAGAAAUAUGCAGAGUUUUCUCUUCUAUUUAAUACCAGCCCAAGCUGUAUUUGCUGGAGACCGAGGGAGGAGGUAAAAGGGAGGCUUAGGAGGAUAGCUAGUGAGGGGGAGUACAGAGAAAUGAGAGUAAAGGUGUAGGCAGGGCUGAAACAGAGGCCAUGGAAGUUGAACUAAAUUUGAGUGUAGACCAGGCCUAAGUGAGGAACAGGAUAAGAAACUUGAACGUGAUGCAGAUGAAGAGAGGCAGCAGUGUGACGAUCUGAGGCAGGCCAGUGACAUGGUCCAAGUGGCUGGAAGGGGAAGCUGAUCUGAGCAGUGGCAUUUUGGAUCAACUAGAAGGGGACCCAGAGCUUGUCAGUGAGCCUGAUGAGUGAGGCUGAAGACAUCUUAAACAGCAAAGGGACGCAGAGUAACAACACAAUGGACUAAACUCCAUUGCGGAGUGACAAAAGAGAUUGAGAGAAGAAAUGGAACAAGUAUCUUGUGGAUGUCAUCAAUGAGUGCUUGAGUUCUCCCUAACAAAAGUGUUUUGAAGAUUCGUGUAUUUGUUCUCAAGCUGCCAGCAAUGCCCACUUUCAUCUUUCAAGGACAGAUGCCCUCUUUCUUCAAUGUUGGUUAUUUUGAAAAUGGACAGUGAGUCAAGGAGCAAAUCCGUGUGCAUCCGUGCUUUUUUUUUAUACUUUUGUUUUACAAGCAAGCAAACAUGAAACAUAGGAGCCAGGUUUAUUUAUGCCAAUGUUUCCAGACAUUAACUAACACAAGUGAAUGUAGACAAAUCAAAAACUAAUCGACAUGAUAUACAACUCUAACUGUAACAUUAUUUACAUUCAAAAGAGAAGAGUAUUCAGAGGGGCGACUCUCAUUUUCUCAGCCUCCCUAUCUGAAAGAAAAGGCCACAAUGACACUGUCCAUGCAUAGAUGAGCAACAGCUUUCCUGGCUCUUGUUUCUUCCAGAAAGCACCACCAUCACCCUCCACCCCCACCACUAAGUUCUAAUUUUUUUUUUGAAUAGCAAAAGGUAGACACGCCUUCUAGCUCAGUGGACAUGGUAUCAACCCGGCUAGAGUAAAUGGCACAGUGGUUCUCAAACUGUGGGUCAGGCCCAAAAGUGGGUCAUGACCCUGUUUUAAUGAGGUCGCCUUGAGGCGUUAGACUUGCUGGGCUCUGGGGCUGAAGCCAAAGUCUGAGUCCCACUGCCCAGGACGGGGGCUGAAGCCAAAGCCCAAGGGCUUCAGCCAUGGGCAGCAGGGCUCAGGCUAUAGCGCCCUCCCCCCAUCCCCGCUGCCCGCCCAAAGGGGCAGGGCUCAGGCUUCCGUCCCUCUUCCUGGAGUUGUGUAGUAACUUUUGUUGUCAGAAGAGGGUCGCGAUGCAAUGAAGUUUGAGAACCCCUGCUACCCAAACAAUGUAUCCUCAGACUCUAAGGUAAGUCUCAAGAGCAAUUGCGUCUGUGGCGCCCACAACUGUGUCAGAACAGCUGAUCUAAAAGCAUCAGCACAGACACCUCUUUCACUAUCAGAAGGAGAUUAUCAACCAGUGAAACCAGUACAGUCUCUGUGCCAAACCCAGGUCUCAGAUCUAUGCAAGUCUGGGCUUUGAUGUAUGAAGUUAGGCACCCAAAAAAUCUACAUGCUUUAGAGCAGUUGUUCUCUAACUUUUUUUUUCAUGGACCACUUGAAAAUUGCUGUGGGUCUCAGUGGGCCACUUCAUGAUCUUUCCAAAUGUUGUUUGUACCGUGAGCUAACUAUUGUAAAGAGCUUUGGAUUAAAAAAAACCUUAAUAAUUAACAUUUUUUUGUUCUACAAAUAAAAGCACACAACUCAUAUUUUAA